CCUACGGGAGGCAGCAGUAGGGAAUCUUCCACAAUGGACGGAAGUCUGAUGGAGCAACGCCGCGUGAGUGAAGAAGGGUUUCGGCUCGUAAAGCUCUGUUAGUAGUGAAGAAAGAUAGAGGUAGUAACUGGCCUUUAUUUGACGGUAAUUACUUAGAAAGUCACGGCUAACUACGUGCCAGCAGCCGCGGUAAUAAGUAGGUGGCAAGCGUUGUCCGGAUGUGUUGGGCGGAAAGCGAGUGCAGGCGGUUCAAUAAGUCUGAUGUGAAAGCCUUCGGCUCAACCGGAGAAUUGCAUCAGAAACUGUUGAACUGGAGUGCAGAAGAGGCGAGUGGAACUCCAUGUGUAGCGGUGGAAUGCGUAGAUAUAUGGAAGAACACCAGUGGCGAAGGCGGCUCUCUGGUCUGCAACUGACGCUGAGGCUCGAAAGCAUGGGUAGCGAACAGGAUUAGAUACCCUAGUAGUC
rnacentral:rRNA from 1 species